GAUGAACGCUGGCGGCGUGCCUAAUACAUGCAAGUCGAGCGAAGCGGGGACGGGUGAGUAACACGUGGAUAACCUCCUAUAAGUCUGGGAUACCUUCGGGAAACCGGAGCUAACCCGGAUACUUAUCGAUGGAUCCGCGCUGCAUUAGCUAGUUGGUAAGGUAACGGCUUACCAAGGCAACGAUGCAUAGCCGACCUGAGAGGGGGAUCGGCAACACGGGAACUGAGACACGGUCCAGACUCCUACGGGAGGCAGCAGUAGGGAAUCUUCCGAAAUUGGCGAAAGCCUUACGGAGCAACGCCACGUGAGUGAUGAAGGUCUUCGGAUCGUAAAACUCUGUUAUUAGGGAAGCUGUACCGAAUGAGAAAGCCACGGCUAACUACGUGCCAGCAGCCGCGGUAAUUC
rnacentral:rRNA from 1 species